GAGAAAGUGUCAAGACGUAAGAAAUUAAUGUCUGUGACUGUCACGGAAAUACUAGGACCUCUGCAAUCAAAUAACAAGGACUGGCUGUACCUUCUCAAGAAUUCUCAUUGCAGAAAUCUUUUGAUUGUUUUGUAUAAAUGUCAAAAGGAAGAUCCCGGCUACAAUGAAACACUACAUCAAGCCAAGAAAUUGAUUGAAAUUGCAGAAAAAGAAAUGAAAACACUACUGAGUCACAUUAAGAAAAAUUCAGUGGCAUCCAAAGUGGUGUAUCAUAUUCUAAAUGAUGAUGACGCUGAUAAAUUAUGUCAGUUAUUUGUUGAAGAGAAUGAGGAAAAGAACUUAAAGAAUGCUCUGGAAUCAGCCAGAAAUUACUUAAAUUUCCUCGAACAGCAGCAAAAACAAAUUAAGGGUCUAAUUUUCCUCU